rnacentral:rRNA from 2 species
UCGGCUAUCACUUUUGGAUGGUCCCGCGGCGUAUUAGCUAGAUGGUGGGGUAACGGCUCACCAUGGCAAUGAUACGUAGCCGACCUGAGAGGGUAAUCGGCCACAUUGGGACUGAGACACGGCCCAAACUCCUACGGGAGGCAGCAGUAGGGAAUCUUCCACAAUGGACGAAAGUCUGAUGGAGCAACGCCGCGUGAGUGAAGAAGGGUUUCGGCUCGUAAAACUCUGUUGUUAAAGAAGAACAUAUCUGAGAGUAACUGUUCAGGUAUUGACGGUAUUUAACCAGAAAGCCACGGCUAACUACGUGCCAGCAGCCGCGGUAAUACGUAGGUGGCAAGCGUUGUCCGGAUUUAUUGGGCGUAAAGCGAGCGCAGGCGGUUUUUUAAGUCUGAUGUGAAAGCCUUCGGCUCAACCGAAGAAGUGCAUCGGAAACUGGGAAACUUGAGUGCAGAAGAGGACAGUGGAACUCCAUGUGUAGCGGUGAAAUGCGUAGAUAUAUGGAAGAACACCAGUGGCGAAGGCGGCUGUCUGGUCUGUAACUGACGCUGAGGCUCGAAAGUAUGGGUAGCAAACAGGAUUAGAUACCCUGGUAGUCCAUACCGUAAACGAUGAAUGCUAAGUGUUGGAGGGUUUCCGCCCUUCAGUGCUGCAGCUAACGCAUUAAGCAUUCCGCCUGGGGAGUACGGCCGCAAGGCUGAAACUCAAAGGAAUUGACGGGGGCCCGCACAAGCGGUGGAGCAUGUGGUUUAAUUCGAAGCUACGCGAAGAACCUUACCAGGUCUUGACAUACUAUGCAAAUCUAAGAGAUUAGACGUUCCCUUCGGGGACAUGGAUACAGGUGGUGCAUGGUUGUCGUCAGCUCGUGUCGUGAGAUGUUGGGUUAAGUCCCGCAACGAGCGCAACCCUUAUUAUCAGUUGCCAGCAUUAAGUUGGGCACUCUGGUGAGACUGCCGGUGACAAACCGGAGGAAGGUGGGGAUGACGUCAAAUCAUCAUGCCCCUUAUGACCUGGGCUACACACGUGCUACAAUGGAUGGUACAACGAGUUGCGAACUCGCGAGAGUAAGCUAAUCUCUUAAAGCCAUUCUCAGUUCGGAUUGUAGGCUGCAACUCGCCUACAUGAAGUCGGAAUCGCUAGUAAUCGCGGAUCAGCAUGCCGCGGUGAAUACGUUCCCGGGCCUUGUACACACCGCCCGUCACACCAUGAGAGUUUGUAACACCCAAAGUCGGUGGGGUAACCUUUUAGGAACCAGCCGCCUAAGGUGGGACAGAUGAUUAGGGUGAAGUCGUAACAAGGUAGCCGUAGGAGAACCUGCGGCUGGAUCACCUCCUUUCUAAGGAA